GUAUAGACCCGAAACCCGUUGAUCUAGCCAUGCGCAGGAUGCAGGUUGGGUAACACUAACUGGACGACCGAACCGACUAAUGUUGACACAUCAGCGGAUGACCUGUGGCAGGGGGUGAACGGCCAAUCAAACCAGGAGAUACCUGGUUCUCCCCGAAAGCUAUGUAGGUAGCGCAUCGCGAAUCCAUCUCCGGAGGUAGAGCACUGUCCCGGCUAGGCGGCCAU
rnacentral:rRNA from 1 species